rnacentral:rRNA from 1 species
GACGAACGCUGGCGGCGUGCUUAACACAUGCAAGUCGAACGGAAAGGCCCUGCUUUUGUGGGGUGCUCGAGUGGCGAACGGGUGAGUAACACGUGAGUAACCUGCCCUUGACUGUGGGAUAACUUCAGGAAACUGGGGCUAAUACCGGAUAGGAGCUCCUGCUGCAUGGUGGGGGUUGGAAAGUGUCGGCGGUUGGGGAUGGACUCGCGGCUUAUCAGCUUGUUGGUGGGGUAGGGGCUUACCAAGGCUUUGACGGGUAGCCGGCCUGGGAGGGUGACCGGCCACAUUGGGACUGAGAUACGCCCCAGACUCCUACCGGAGGCAACAGUCGGGAAUCUUGCGCAAUGGGCGGAAGCCUGAUACAGCAACGCCCCGUGCGGGAUGACGGCCUUCGGGUUGUAAACCGCUUUCGCCUGAGACGAAGCGUGAGUGACGGUAAUGGGUAAAGAAGCACCGGCUAACUACGUG